rnacentral:SRP_RNA from 1 species
GCCAGGUGCAGCGGCAUGCACCUGUAGUCCCAGCUACUCAGGAGGCUGAGGUGGGAAGAUCACUUGAGCCCAGAAAUUCUGGGCUAUAGUAUGCUAUACCAAUUGAGUGUCCACACUAAGUUCAGCAUCAAUAUGGUGACUUCCCAAAGUAAGAGACCACCAAGGAGGUGUGAACCACCCCACUAGGAAAGGGAGAAUGUCAAAAUUCCCAUGCUAAUCAGUAGGAAGAUCACAACUCUGGAUAGCCACUGUUCUCUGGCCUGGGCAACAUAGCAAGACCCCAUCUCU